UUCUUUCGGGUCUGUAGUUGCGGGGGCUUGCGCCCCCUAGUCCAUGGCAGAUGCGGUCGAAAGGAUCCACGUAAGCAUCGGGCUUGUCCCGUGCGAGCAUGGCGUAUCCUAGGAGUAAGACGCACCCUUCGGAGAUUGUUUUGCGGCGUGGUGCUGCACCGAAGGAGAGGGUGGAGCGGAUUGCCGCAAACCCCCGGUGCGCGAGUGUGGGGGCAAAGACUAGGUCAGCCGGAAGAA
rnacentral:ncRNA from 20 species